AGAGUUUGAUCCUGGCUCAGAUUGAACGCUGGCGGCAUGCUUUACACAUGCAAGUCGGACGGCAGCACAGAGAAGCUUGCUUCUUGGGUGGCGAGUGGCGAACGGGUGAGUAAUAUAUCGGAACGUACCGAGUAAUGGGGGAUAACUAAUCGAAAGAUUAGCUAAUACCGCAUAUUCUCUGAGGAGGAAAGCAGGGGACCUUCGGGCCUUGCGUUAUUCGAGCGGCCGAUAUCUGAUUAGCUAGUUGGUGGGGUAAAGGCCUACCAAGGCGACGAUCAGUAGCGGGUCUGAGAGGAUGAUCCGCCACACUGGGACUGAGACACGGCCCAGACUCCUACGGGAGGCAGCAGUGGGGAAUUUUGGACAAUGGGCGCAAGCCUGAUCCAGCCAUGCCGCGUGUCUGAAGAAGGCCUUCGGGUUGUAAAGGACUUUUGUCAGGGAAGAAAAGGCUGUCGCUAAUACCGACAGUUGAUGACGGUACCUGAAGAAUAAGCACCGGCUAACUACGUGCCAGCAGCCGCGGUAAUACGUAGGGUGCGAGCGUUAAUCGGAAUUACUGGGCGUAAAGCGAGCGCAGACGGUUACUUAAGCAGGAUGUGAAAUCCCCGGGCUCAACCUGGGAACUGCGUUCUGAACUGGGUGACUAGAGUGUGUCAGAGGGAGGUAGAAUUCCACGUGUAGCAGUGAAAUGCGUAGAGAUGUGGAGGAAUACCGAUGGCGAAGGCAGCCUCCUGGGAUAACACUGACGUUCAUGCUCGAAAGCGUGGGUAGCAAACAGGAUUAGAUACCCUGGUAGUCCACGCCCUAAACGAUGU
rnacentral:rRNA from 1 species